UGUACGGAGACCUCCCUGCUAGCUCCAGCUCCUACGAGGACCUAAUCCUUCUGAUAGAGAAACUGAUAGAACUCCUCUGUCCUGGUCUUCCGCUGGUCAAGACCAGUUUGUACGAGCUGGAGCUCUUGUUCCAUCCCUGGGUGGAAAGUUGGUACGCUAGUCCAGACCAUGGAACAUCAACGUCCUGCUGUUAUUCAGAGCACUGAUGUGGCUGGACGGAAAUCCAGCCUCUAAAAUUAGACUUGUUCUUCCCGAUAUUCAAGAAGAGGAAGGAGAGAAGGAGGAACCACACAAAGGAAUGUACAACGUGUCAGUAGGAGACCUCAUCACCCAAAUCUACGCCGCCUCCGGGCAACUACUGGACCUCAACUACCGGGCUGGCCGGCUCUAUCAUACCUCACCUACCGGGCUAAAACACGGGUCUUCAUAGUGAUAUGACUUUGAUUUCGAAUAGAC